GGCUCAGGAUGAACGCUAGCGGCAGGCUUAACACAUGCAAGUCGAGGGGCAGCAUGAGGGUUAGCAAUAACCUUUGAUGGCGACCGGCGCAAGGGUGCGUAACGCGUGAGCAACUUGCCCGUUUCUGGGGGAUAACCGGUGGAAACGCCGACUAAUACCCCAUAGUAUUGAUUUCAGGCAUCUGUUAUCAAUUAAAGAAUUUCGGAAACGGAUAGGCUCGCGUGACAUUAGCUAGAUGGCGGGGUAACGGCCCACCAUGGCUACGAUGUCUAGGGGUUCUGAGAGGAAGGUCCCCCACACUGGAACUGAGACACGGUCCAGACUCCUACGGGAGGCAGCAGUGAGGAAUAUUGGUCAAUGGUCUGACGACUGGACCAGCCAUGCCGCGUGAAGGUGACGGCCCUAUGGGUCUUAAACUUCUUUUGUAAGGGAGCAAUAAGUUCUACGUGUAGGAUGAUGAGAGUACCUUACGAAUAAGCAUCGGCUAACUCCGUG
rnacentral:rRNA from 1 species